UGCCUUGGAACCUUGUAGGGUAGGAGCAUUGUUUGGUGGUGUACUGUUUGCAUGUCACAAUAAACCAUUAGGGAAAGGACAGAGACGAGUUUAGUGCUUGGUAUAUAAUGCAUAUAUUAUCAGGCUUGAUUUCUUUAUAGGGGCAUUGCAGAAAGAAAUGCUUGAGGUGGAAGUAAGAAUGUACAAUUGCGUAAUGGGUGUCAUUUCCUACCUAUAUGUGCUUGAGUUGCUUGUAUUAUGCUGACUGGCUGUUUCUAGAAGACCAACUAAACCAACAGGAUGUUCAGGCAUCUUGCCCCAAUUCAAUACUCCCUCCAUUCUGUUUUAGAGGGCGCCUGACUAUUUUGCAAAGAUCAAGGCAACAUGUUCGGUCGCAAGGCAAUUGAGACGCCAUCGCGUGAUUAGCAGAGGAGGGCUGCUGCUCACAGGGGCAUUUUUGGGAGAAUUUUGUCUAAAGUGGGAGCGCUUAGGAAUUUUGAGGAAAAGUUAUUCGCCCACUAAUGGGAUGCAGGGAGUAUAGUUGUAGAAUUUUAUUUAAUAAGCUACCUCUUCUUAAAACAAUACCUUAAUGAGCUGCUUCUAACUGAAUAAAUGAUGUCAAAGUCUUCUUUUUUA